rnacentral:rRNA from 1 species
ACGGGAGACACACGGCGGGUGCUAACGUCCGUCGUGAAGAGGGAAACAACCCAGACCGCCAGCUAAGGUCCCAAAGUCAUGGUUAAGUGGGAAACGAUGUGGGAAGGCCCAGACAGCCAGGAUGUUGGCUUAGAAGCAGCCAUCAUUUAAAGAAAGCGUAAUAGCUCACUGGUCGAGUCGGCCUGCGCGGAAGAUGUAACGGGGCUAAACCAUGCACCGAAGCUGCGGCAGCGACGCUUAUG